UCUGUCACUAAAGAGGUCGUCAACUUUAACCAACAUUAUUUGAUCAUGUAAUGUUCUCAUCUACCCUCAACUGGCUUAAGGACUUUAAGGAGCCAUUUGAGGGUAGAUUUUGUUUACUUUUAUUUAAAUACCUAAAGAUACAGACUAGUAAUAGAUAACAUAGAACAAUCGAAACAAGAUUCAAUGUUUUUGAAUAUUGUGAACCAUAAGCUGUUUGGUAAUGGUUUGACUGGAGUAUUAUUUAUGAUGGCCGCCGCAGGUUUUAUCACUUAACAUUAAAUAUAGUUGCCGUAACAAAUCGUGUUCGGAAUCAUUUAUUUUUGUGCAUUUUUACAAUAAAGUAUAGAAAUUA